rnacentral:rRNA from 1 species
GACGAACCGUGCGAACGUUGUUCGGAAUCACUGGGCUUAAAGGGCGCGUAGGCGGGUUCUCAAGUCUGUGGUGAAAGCCUCCAGCUUAACUGGAGAAGUGCCGUGGAUACUGGGGACCUCGAGGUGGGUAGGGGGCAUCUGGAACAGCCGGUGGAGCGGUGAAAUGCGUAGAGAUGUGGAGGAACACCGAUGGCGAAGGCAGCCCCCCUGGGCCAACACUGACGCUCAGGCACGAAAGCGUGGGGAGCAAACAGG